rnacentral:rRNA from 1 species
ACUCUGGGGGCAUGCCUAACACAUGCAAGUCGAACGGUAACAGGAAACAGCUUGCUGUUUCGCUGACGAGUGGCGGACGGGUGAGUAAUGUCUGGGAAACUGCCUGAUGGAGGGGGAUAACUACUGGAAACGGUAGCUAAUACCGCAUAACGUCGCAAGACCAAAGAGGGGGACCUUCGGGCCUCUUGCCAUCGGAUGUGCCCAGAUGGGAUUAGCUAGUAGGUGGGGUAACGGCUCACCUAGGCGACGAUCCCUAGCUGGUCUGAGAGGAUGACCAGCCACACUGGAACUGAGACACGGUCCAGACUCCUACGGGAGGCAGCAGUGGGGAAUAUUGCACAAUGGGCGCAAGCCUGAUGCAGCCAUGCCGCGUGUAUGAAGAAGGCCUUCGGGUUGUAAAGUACUUUCAGCGGGGAGGAAGGGAGUAAAGUUAAUACCUUUGCUCAUUGACGUUACCCGCAGAAGAAGCACCGGCUAACUCCGUGCCAGCAGCCGCGGUAAUACGGAGGGUGCAAGCGUUAAUCGGAAUUACUGGGCGUAAAGCGCACGCAGGCGGUUUGUUAAGUCAGAUGUGAAAUCCCCGGGCUCAACCUGGGAACUGCAUCUGAUACUGGCAAGCUUGAGUCUCGUAGAGGGGGGUAGAAUUCCAGGUGUAGCGGUGAAAUGCGUAGAGAUCUGGAGGAAUACCGGUGGCGAAGGCGGCCCCCUGGACGAAGACUGACGCUCAGGUGCGAAAGCGUGGGGAGCAAACAGGAUUAGAUACCCUGGUAGUCCACGCCGUAAACGAUGUCGACUUGGAGGUUGUGCCCUUGAGGCGUGGCUUCCGGAGCUAACGCGUUAAGUCGACCGCCUGGGGAGUACGGCCGCAAGGUUAAAACUCAAAUGAAUUGACGGGGGCCCGCACAAGCGGUGGAGCAUGUGGUUUAAUUCGAUGCAACGCGAAGAACCUUACCUGGUCUUGACAUCCACGGAAGUUUUCAGAGAUGAGAAUGUGCCUUCGGGAACCGUGAGACAGGUGCUGCAUGGCUGUCGUCAGCUCGUGUUGUGAAAUGUUGGGUUAAGUCCCGCAACGAGCGCAACCCUUAUCCUUUGUUGCCAGCGGUCCGGCCGGGAACUCAAAGGAGACUGCCAGUGAUAAACUGGAGGAAGGUGGGGAUGACGUCAAGUCAUCAUGGCCCUUACGACCAGGGCUACACACGUGCUACAAUGGCGCAUACAAAGAGAAGCGACCUCGCGAGAGCAAGCGGACCUCAUAAAGUGCGUCGUAGUCCGGAUUGGAGUCUGCAACUCGACUCCAUGAAGUCGGAAUCGCUAGUAAUCGUGGAUCAGAAUGCCACGGUGAAUACGUUCCCGGGCCUUGUACACACCGCCCGUCACACCAUGGGAGUGGGUUGCAAAAGAAGUAGGUAGCUUAACCUUCGGGAGGGCGCUUACCACUUUGUGAUUCAUGACUGGGGUGAAGUCGUAACAAGGUAACCGUAGGGGAACCUGCGGUUGGAUCACCUCCUUACCUUAAAGAAGC